rnacentral:rRNA from 1 species
UACGGGGGGGGCAAGCGUUGUUCGGAAUUACUGGGCGUAAAGGGCCAGUAGGCGGCCAACUAAGUCCGACGUGAAAUCCCAAGGCUUAACCUUGGAACUGCGUCGGAUACUGGAUGGCUUGAAUUCGGGAGAGGGAUGCAGAAUUCCAGGUGUAGCGGUGAAAUGCGUAGAUAUCAGGAGGAACACCAAUGGCGAAGGCAGCACUCUGGGACGUGACUGACGCUGAGACGCGAAAGCGUGGGGAGCAAACAGG